rnacentral:rRNA from 1 species
UACGGAGGGUGCAAGCGUUGUCCGGAAUCACUGGGCGUAAAGGGCGCGUAGGCGGCUCAUGAAGGCUGUGGUGAAAGUCCGGGGCUCAACCUCGGAUCGGCCGUGGCGACUCGUGGGCUGGAGCACUGUAGAGGCGGGUGGAAUUCCGGGUGUAGCGGUGGAAUGCGUAGAGAUCCGGAAGAACACCGGUGGCGAAGGCGGUCUGCUGGGGUGAGGCUGACGCUGAGGCGCGACAGCGUGGGGAGCAAACAGG